GGGGCCGUGACUCCAGCCAGUCAGCCAAGGCAGGCAGCAGGGGCUGUGCCUCCAGCCAUGCAGACUAGGUAGGCAGGCCUGGGCCAUGACUCCAACCAGCCAGUCAGCCAAGGCAGGCAGGCAGGAGCUGCGACUCCAGUCAGGCAGCCAAGGCAGGCAGGUAGGGGCCAUGACUCCAAGCAGCCAGCUAAGGCAGGCAGGCCGGAGCCGUGACUCCAGCCACCCAGCUAAGGCACUCAGGCAGGAGCUGCAAUUCCAGUCAGCUAGUCAAGGCAGGCAGGCAGGGGCCGUGACUCCAGCCAGUCAGCCAAGGCAGGCAGCAGGGGCUGUGCCUCCAGCCAUGCAGACUAGGUAGGCAGGCCUGGGCCAUGACUCCAACCAGCCAGUCAGCCAAGGCAGGCAGGCAGGAGCUGCGACUCCAGUCAGGCAGCCAAGGCAGGCAGGCAGGGACAUGACUCCAGCCAGUCGGACAAGACAGGCAGGAAGGGGCUUUGUCUACAGCCAUCCAGCCUAGGCAGGCAGGCCUGGGCCAUGAAUCCAACCAGCCAGUCAGCC
ensembl:lncRNA